UUAUUCUUUGAAAGGAUUUCUAGAUAUAAAAAAAAUAAAGUAUACUUGAUAUAUUUUGCUUUUCAGCGUUGAUCGAUCAUAGGGUUUCCCUUUUAUUUCACAGUAAAAGAUAAACUACAAUUAUAUUAUUAAAACGCGUAACUACAAGUAAAUAAAUAAAUGUUAUAGGUUGUUUAUGAAUAAAUGUGAUUAUAUGAAUUAUCAAAAUCAGUUCGUUAACAAACAGAUUACCAUGUCAUGACUAGGCACGUCAUACAUUGUAAUAUAGACAAAUCUACGUACUAAGAUUUGAACUUUCCGACAGCGGGAUAUCUCUCCCUCGGUAGAAAUAAAUACAUUAAAGAUAUAUAAUAACAAAUUGCAUCCAUUUUCUUGUUGACUCUAUUUAUCAAUGGCAAUGAAAUUAGCAACCCCUUGGUUUAUUUAUAUCGACAUUUAUAAAAACAUUUCACCACAGCGAGUUAGCAAAUUUUAAUGAUUUAAAGACUACAAGACGUGUAUCUCGUCUCGAAAGGAAGACAAUAUUAAACUGCAAUAAGGAAGUCGACAAUAGGAGAGAGUAACGUUUUUCAAGAAAAACAACUUAGUAUUGUCCUAAAACAUGAAACUACAUGACUAUCAAAUGCAUUCGUCGUUUAGAUUUUUUUCCGAGUGAAAAUGAUCUUAUCAAGAUAGCUGAUGGUAUCUACAGGUCUAAAAUUAGCUGGCCAAUCAAAAUCGUGGGUGUUGCAUGGGGGUGGAUAUAUAUAUUAUGUCAAUCAAAAGAACAAUUCUGUCUUUUUAAUCGGAAGCAAUAACGGCAUUCAUAUAAUCAUAAUAAGAAUAUAAUUUAAUACAAAAUGGGUGAUGUAAAUGCCACAAGAAUUGGUUUAGGAAUAUUAUUUGUUCUGUUUUUUCCAAUCACUGUUCCGAGUUAUUUAAUCUAUUUGCUCAUAACAAAGCUUUCGGGAGAUAACGAUUCGUGUCCGAGGAGUGUUCCGCAGGACCGAAGAUAAUAAAAAUGACGUAUGCAUAUUGGAGAAACAGAAAGGAAGACACCAAAGUUGAUCAUAAAUACCUCGACAGGAUAUUCUUUUUUUUCCAAAAAUAAAUCACAACAAAAGUAAACAUGUGCAUGGAUGGGAUAAUUCUGAAGAAACAGCUGAUAUACUUUCAAUCAUCUAAUUUUUGUCUUGACGUGCAUUUAUCUUUGUCAUUAUAACGUUUAUCAUAACUAUUUGUUUUUCAUUGAAUUUUGAAUAUUUUGCACUUUUUGUAAAGUAACAACUGUGUUUAUUUAAAGAAAAUAAAUUAUAUUUCAAACACCA